rnacentral:tRNA from 1 species
AGCAGCGUGGCUCAGUGGAAAGAGCCUGGGCUUGGGAGCCAGAGGUCAUGGGUUCGAUUCCUGGCGCUACCA